AAUUAAACUUCUAGAAAUAAAUCGUCCGCGAUAUAUUUCGGGGUGGAUAGUGCGUGAAUGACGACGUUGGCGAGUUUUACGUGGAAGUUUGUGCGAGAAGAGUACGUAAACCGUCGUUGAAUGCAUGCACUCUAAAGAAAGAAAGAGAGAGAGAGAGAGAGAGAGAGAGAGAGAGAAGGAGAGAGUGCUGCCCGUUCGAAGUACUUCGUUCUUGCAGCUACCCCGGUAUUUUAGUAGUUCGCCGAAACGAAGAGCUAUUUUCACCUCAAGAUCGCACACGCCGCACGAUAGCUUGUUGCAGAGAAGCACGGUUUACGGAUAUUGCAAUAUGAAGAGAGAAUGAGGUCGACCACUCGGUGAAAUAGGUUAGAGAAGAUGGAUACCGACUGACUACAGCAUCCAUGAUCCAUGUCGGUUCGACCAAGUUAGUUCUUUUCAUUGCGAAACAAGUUUUAUGAGAGCACACGACUCGAGAUAAAGAGUACAUAAUACGAACGGAAGACUACGUAAUUCGUUGCUCUGAAAAAUAUAGCGGUCUUCAAUGAGUGUGCACGAAGAAGAAGGGUUGAAGAGAGGGGAUGUGCUUCGUCCUCGUUCAGUGAUCGUAACACGAGGAUGGUAGAGGAGUUUCACGAUGGCGAGGACCGCAAUGCAGCGAUGUCGGCAUUUUAAUUGAAAGCGUCACCGUACGAAACGAGGAGCGUGAUUCUCCUAUCUUUCGGGAUCUCUGAUAUCAGUUCACCCGCGAAACAUUUCGAUCGGAACGUUUAAUAAGGCAAUGCGAUUAAAUCAAAAAAAGAAAAAAGAGAGAGAAGAAAAGGAUAAAAGAAAAAGAAAAA